CAGCAGUCGCCGCGGUAAUACGAAGGGGGCUAGCGUUGUUCGGAUUUACUGGGCGUAAAGGGCGCGUAGGCGGACUGAUAAGUCAGGGGUGAAAUCCCGGGGCUCAACCCCGGAACUGCCUUUGAUACUGGAAGUCUUGAGUAUGGUAGAGGUGAGUGGAAUUCCGAGUGUAGAGGUGAAAUUCGUAGAUAUUCGGAGGAACACCAGUGGCGAAGGCGGCUCACUGGACCAUUACUGACGCUGAGGUGCGAAAGCGUGGGGAGCAAACAGGAUUAGAUACCCCCGUAGUCCCUGUCUCUUAUAA
rnacentral:rRNA from 1 species